GGCCCAUAGUUCUGGUGCAUUGGAAGGGUUCUGGAAUUUUAGAACACAAAGUAGCAGUUUUAAAUAAUGAGAGAAGAUUCCACAUGGAACGCUCAUCUGGCUGUGGCAGCCUGUGACUGAAUGAGAGAAAAGUGCCCUAGAAGCUAUUCAUUACGAAUUCACUGGAAGCUCUCAAACGAGGCUGGCAGAAGCUGAAAUUGAAGUGGUCUCUGACCUAAUUUUCUUCUGCAUGAAACAUCUGCAUCAAGGCUCUCUUUGAUGUAUUCCACUUGGCUCUGUCUAUAGGAUUGUAUCACAUGGACUCGGUGUUGCCUCCUUAUUGAAAGACAUUUCCAGCCUUUGCAAGAUUCAUCUCACUGCUAAUUCAUAUUCAGCUUCUUCCCCAACAUAAUUUCUAAGGCAGAAGUUUGAAAGCUGGUACCAAUCCAUGGCCUGUUGAGAACUAGGCCUCACAACAGGAGAUGGCCCGUUUGACACAAAUUAGAACAACCUUGAUAGCUGUCAACUGGAGACUAUCUGAGAACAAAAGAACAUUAUUGCAAGCCAGCACUGGAGUUUGCAGCAUCACUGAAAACGAUGCACUCUCCUGCCAAGUCCCAUCUUUGGGAAGGAGGAAAUUGAUUAGAUCCAGGAGGUUUUCAUAA
rnacentral:lncRNA from 13 species